ACGAGUCGUCUCUUAGAUGACGAAGUGGUUGAUGCCAUGCUUCCAAGAAAAGCUUCUAAGCUUCAGGUAACCAGGAACCGUACCCCAAACCGACACAGGUGGUCGGGUAGAGAAUACCAAGGCGCUUGAGAGAACUCGGGUGAAGGAACUAGGCAAAAUGGCACCGUAACUUCGGGAGAAGGUGCGCCGGCUAGGGUGAAGGAUUUACUCCGUAAGCUCUGGCUGGUCGAAGAUACCAGGCCGCUGCGACUGUUUAUUAAAAACACAGCACUCUGCAAACACGAAAGUGGACGUAUAGGGUGUGACGCCUGCCCGGUGCCGGAAGGUUAAUUGAUGGGGUUAGCGCAAGCGAAGCUCUUGAUCGAAGCCCCGGUAAACGGCGGCCGUAACUAUAACGGUCCUAAGGUAGCGAAAUUCCUUGUCGGGUAAGUUCCGACCUGCACGAAUGGCGUAACGAUGGCGGCGCUGUCUCCACCCGAGACUCGGUGAAAUUGAAAUCGCCGUGAAGAUGCAGUGUAUCCGCGGCUAGACGGAAAGACCCCGUGAACCUUUACUGUAGCUUUGCACUGGACUUUGAGCCUGCUUGUGUAGGAUAGGUGGGAGGCUUUGAAGCGUGGACGCCAGUUCGCGUGGAGCCAUCCUUGAAAUACCACCCUGGCAUGCUUGAGGUUCUAACUCUGGUCCGUAAUCCGGAUCGAGGACAGUGUAUGGUGGGCAGUUUGACUGGGGCGGUCUCCUCCUAAAGAGUAACGGAGGAGUGCGAAGGUGCGCUCAGACCGGUCGGAAAUCGGUCGCAGAGUAUAAAGGCAAAAGCGCGCUUGACUGCGAGACAGACACGUCGAGCAGGUACGAAGGUAGGUCUUAGUGAUCCGGUGGUUCUGUAUGGAAGGGCCAUCGCUCAACGGAUAAAAGGUACUCCGGGGAUAACAGGCUGAUACCGCCCAAGAGUUCAUAUCGACGGCGGUGUUUGGCACCUCGAUGUCGGCUCAUCACAUCCUGGGGCUGAAGCCGGUCCCAAGGGUAUGGCUGUUCGCCAUUUAAAGUGGUACGCGAGCUGGGUUUAGAACGUCGUGAGACAGUUCGGUCCCUAUCUGCCGUGGACGUUUGAGAUUUGAGAGGGGCUGCUCCUAGUACGAGAGGACCGGAGUGGACGAACCUCUGGUGUUCCGGUUGUCACGCCAGUGGCAUUGCCGGGUAGCUAUGUUCGGAAAAGAUAACCGCUGAAAGCACCUAAGCGGGAAACUUGCCUCAAGAUGAGAUCUCACUGGGAACUUGAUUCCCCUGAAGGGCCGUCGAAGACUACGACGUUGAUAGGCUGGGUGUGUAAGCGUUGUGAGGCGUUGAGCUAACCAGUACUAAUUGCCCGUGAGGCCUGACCGU
rnacentral:rRNA from 1 species